GUUAUAUGGUCAAGUGAUGAAGCGCAGACGGUGGAUGCCUAGGCGGUAGGAGGCGAUGAAGGACGUAGUAGCUUGCGAAAAGCCUCGGGGAGCUGGCAAAUAAGCGUUGAUCCGGGGAUGUCCGAAUGGGGAAACCCACCUGUCGCAAGACGGGUAUCCUGCA
rnacentral:rRNA from 1 species